GUGCCAGACUCCUACGGGAGGCAGCAGUGAGGAAUAUUGGUCAAUGGGCGCAAGCCUGAACCAGCCAAGUCGCGUGAGGGAAGACGGUCCUAUGGAUUGUAAACCUCUUUUGUCGGGGAGCAAAGCGCGGUACGAGUACCGCGAAGGAGAGUACCCGAAGAAAAAGCAUCGGCUAACUCCGUGCCAGCAGCCGCGGUAAUACGGAGGAUGCGAGCGUUAUCCGGAUUUAUUGGGUUUAAAGGGUGCGUAGGCGGAAUAUCAAGUCAGCGGUAAAAAUUCGGGGCUCAACCCCGUCGUGCCGUUGAAACUGAUGUUCUUGAGUGGGCGAGAAGUAUGCGGAAUGCGUGGUGUAGCGGUGAAAUGCAUAGAUAUCACGCAGAACUCCGAUUGCGAAGGCAGCAUACCGGCGCCCAACUGACGCUGAAGCACGAAAGCGUGGGUAUCGAACAGGAUUAGAUACCCUUGUA
rnacentral:rRNA from 1 species